GACGUUCUGAGCAACCCCUCUCUUCAUCAUCUAAAAGACACCAUGCCCGUUGCGCCCCAGUACUACCACGCGCAUGCGGUGGAUGCCACCAUUCAGCACGAGAAGGCGUACCAGCGCCAGACGGCGGUGAAUGAGAACAUGCACCGCCCAAGCCGCAAGCACGUCAACAAGUCCGGCCACAUCCGCUAUUCCAAGAAGAUCGGUCUGGGCUUCAAGACCCCGGCGAAGGCGCUGAACGGCAAGUACAUCGAUCGCAAGUGCCCCUUCACGAGCAACGUGGUGAUCCGCGGCCGCAUCCUGCGCGGCGUUGUGCACUCCACCAAGAUGCACCGCACCAUCAUCAUCCGCCGCAACUACCUGCACUUCAUCAAGAAGUACCAGCGUUACCAGAAGCGCCACAAGUCCCUGGCCGUGCACUGCAGCCCCGCCUUCGACCCGAAGCAAGGUGAUGAGGUCGUCAUUGGCCAGUGCCGCCCGCUGAGCAAGACGAUCCGCUACAACGUCUUGGAGGUGGUGUCGAAGAGCUCUGCCGACAAGAUGGGCAAGAAGUUCGCCAAGAACUAAGCAGAAGGUGCGCUGCUGCUUUUGCUGUUCAUGUCGUGGCGCUCGCGUGGCGUGCAUGGCGUACUUGGCAUGUGCUUGCGUAUCCAUUCGCAUAGCGCCAUCACGGGUUCGUCGUCCAUUUAGUCGCGCCCUCUCUCCCGCCCUGCGUGAUUCCUUCCGUCUGUCUCUCGCUCUUCCUCUCCCUAUCCCCCACACACACAUACAUAUACACAUAAAUACCGAAACACGCGCAUGCGCGCAUCAUUGCUCCAUGCUGUCAUGUCUCGUGUGUGUAUGCGUGUGUGCGUUCCCUGCAGCAUGGCGAUAGUGGUGAGCGAGGGAGGGGGGCUAGUGAUGGGUGAUUAGUGGCGAGGGGGUGGGACAAGGUGGCAGGCCAAGGGAAGAGGGGGUGACGGCGUCUCUUCACUUUCUAUCAUUCUUUUCUGUACUUUCUCAGUUCAGCAACCCAAUC
rnacentral:misc_RNA from 1 species